rnacentral:rRNA from 1 species
AUUGAACGCUGGCGGCAUGCCUUACACAUGCAAGUCGAACGGCAGCACGGGAGCAAUCCUGGUGGCGAGUGGCGAACGGGUGAGUAAUAUAUCGGAACGUGCCCAGUCGUGGGGGAUAACGCAGCGAGAGCUGUGCUAAUACCGCAUACGAUCUAAGGAUGAAAGCGGGGGAUCGCAAGACCUCGCGCGAUUGGAGCGGCCGAUAUCAGAUUAGCUAGUUGGUGGGUAAAGGCCCACCAAGGCGACGAUCUGUAGCUGGUCUGAGAGGACGACCAGCCACACUGGAACUGAGACACGGUCCAGACUCCUACGGGAGGCAGCAGUGGGGAAUUUUGGACAAUGGGCGCAAGCCUGAUCCAGCAAUGCCGCGUGCAGGAUGAAGGCCUUCGGGUUGUAAACUGCUUUUGUACGGAACGAAACGGCCCUUUCUAAUACAGGGGGCUAAUGACGGUACCGUAAGAAUAAGCACCGGCUAACUACGUGCCAGCAGCCGCCGUAACAC